AGGUUAUGAUGUGGGAACCUCCUUAAGAGGCCAUUGAACCUCUCCCAUGUUUCAAACAAUGAUUCGGUAUCCAUUUGAGUAAAUGAAGUGAUCUCUUGCCUAAGUUC